AAUAUAAUAUCUAUACUAUAUAUAGAGCUAGGCUCGACGAAUUUCGAUUAUCAUUCCAUUUUGAAGCUAAAAACGUCCUUUUGGCGAUAUCUUCGCGUAGACUUGAUGGAUUGCCGAACCGACUUCGGCAACGUGUUCGCUUUACCCUCAAUUAGGUUUGUAGGCGAUCAAUUUCAAGUUAGAGUCUCAAUCUGCAAAAGUGCAUUAUCGAACUAGGCCAAUAUACUAUAUAUAUAUAUAGAGAGAGCUAGGCUACUAUACUAUCUAUACUAUAUAUAGCGCUAGGCUACUAUACUAUCUAUACUAUAUAUAGAGUUAGGCUACUAUACUAUCUACAAUAUAAUAUCUAUGCUAUAUAUAGAGUUAGGCUACUAUACUAUCUACAAUAUAAUAUCUAUACUAUUUCGAUUAUCAUUCCAUUUUGAAGCUGAAAACGUCCUUUUGGCGAUAUCUUCGCGUAGGCUCGACGGAUUGCCGAACUGACUUCGCCAACGUGUUCGCUUUACCCUAAAUUAGGUUUGUAGGCGAUCAAUUUCAAGUUAGAGUCUCAAUCCUGCAAAAGUGCAUUAUCGAACUAGGCCAAUAUACUAUAUAUAUAUAUAUAUAGAGCUAGGCUACGAUACUAUCUAUACUAUAUAUAGCGCUAGGCUACUAUACUAUCUAUACUAUAUAUAGAGUUAGGCUACUAUACUAUCUACAAUAUAAUAUCUAUACCAUAUAUAGAGUUAGGGUACUAUACUAUCUACAAUAUAAUAUCUAUACUAUUUCGAUUAUCAUUCCAUUUUGAAGCUGAAAACGUCCUUUUGGCGAUAUCUUCGCGUAGGCUCGACGGAUUGCCGAACCGACUUCGCCAACGUGUUCGCUUUACCCUCAAUUAGGUUUGUAGGCGAUCAAUUUCAAGUUAGAGUCUCAAUCCUGC
rnacentral:lncRNA from 1 species